AUUGAACGCUGGCGGCAGGCCUAACACAUGCAAGUCGAGCGGAUGAAGGGAGCUUGCUCCUGGAUUCAGCGGCGGACGGGUGAGUAAUGCCUAGGAAUCUGCCUGGUAGUGGGGGAUAACGUCCGGAAACGGGCGCUAAUACCGCAUACGUCCUGAGGGAGAAAGUGGGGGAUCUUCGGACCUCACGCUAUCAGAUGAGCCUAGGUCGGAUUAGCUAGUUGGUGGGGUAGAGGCCUACCAAGGCGACGAUCCGUAACUGGUCUGAGAGGAUGAUCAGUCACCCUGGAACUUAGACACGGUCCAGACUCCUACGGGAGGCAGCAGUGGGGAAUAUUGGACAAUGGGCGAAAGCCUGAUCCAGCCAUGCCGCGUGUGUGAAGAAGGUCUUCGGAUUGUAAAGCACUUUAAGUUGGGAGGAAGGGCAGCAAGUUAAUACCUUGCUGUUUUGACGUUACCAACAGAAUAAGCACCGGCUAACUUCGUG
rnacentral:rRNA from 1 species